rnacentral:rRNA from 1 species
UACGUAGGGUGCGAGCGUUGUCCGGAAUUAUUGGGCGUAAAGAGCUUGUAGGCGGUUUGUCGCGUCUGCUGUGAAAAUCCGGGGCUCAACCCCGGACUUGCAGUGGGUACGGGCAGACUAGAGUGUGGUAGGGGAGACUGGAAUUCCUGGUGUAGCGGUGAAAUGCGCAGAUAUCAGGAGGAACACCGGUGGCGAAGGCGGGUCUCUGGGCCGGAACUGACGCUAAGGCGCGAAAGCGUGGGGAGCGAACAGG